rnacentral:rRNA from 1 species
UCUUGGUUCCCUUAGAGGAAGUAAAAGUCGUAACAAGGUCUCCGUUGGUGAACCAGCGGAGGGAUCAUUACUGAGUUACCGCUCUAUAACCCUUUGUGAACAUACCUAACCGUUGCUUCGGCGGGCAGGGGAAGCCUCUCGCGGGCCUCCCCUCCCGGCGCCGGCCCCCACCACGGGGACGGGGCGCCCGCCGGAGGAAACCAAACUCUAUUUACACGACGUCUCUUCUGAGUGGCACAAGCAAAUAAUUAAAACUUUUAACAACGGAUCUCUUGGUUCUGGCAUCGAUGAAGAACGCAGCGAAAUGCGAUAAGUAAUGUGAAUUGCAGAAUUCAGUGAAUCAUCGAAUCUUUGAACGCACAUUGCGCUCGCCAGCAUUCUGGCGAGCAUGCCUGUUCGAGCGUCAUUUCAACCCUCAAGCACCGCUUGGUUUUGGGGCCCCACGGCACACGUGGGCCCUUAAAGGUAGUGGCGGACCCUCCCGGAGCCUCCUUUGCGUAGUAACUAACGUCUCGCACUGGGAUCCGGAGGGACUCUUGCCGUAAAACCCCCAAAUUUUUUACAGGUUGACCUCGGAUCAGGUAGGAAUACCCGCUGAACUUAAGCAUAUCAAA